rnacentral:rRNA from 1 species
UGACCGCUGGCGGUAGGCCUACCACAUGCAAGUCGAACGGCAGCACAGUAAGAGCUUGCUCUUACGGGUGGCGAGUGGCGGACGGGUGAGGAAUACAUCGGAAUCUACUUUUUCGUGGGGGGUAACGUAGGGAAACUUACGCUAAUACCGCAUACGACCUACGGGUGAAAGCAGGGGAUCUUCGGACCUUGCGCGAUUGAAUGAGCCGAUGUCGGAUUAGCUAGUUGGCGGGGUAAAGGCCCACCAAGGCGACGAUCCGUAGCUGGUCUGAGAGGAUGAUCAGCCACACUGGAACUGAGACACGGUCCAGACUCCUACGGGAGGCAGCAGUGGGGAAUAUUGGACAAUGGGCGCAAGCCUGAUCCAGCCAUACCGCGUGGGUGAAGAAGGCCUUCGGGUUGUAAAGCCCUUUUGUUGGGAAAGAAAAGCAGCAGGUUAAUACCCCGCUGUUCUGACGGUACCCAAAGAAUAAGCACCGGCUAACUUCGUG